UACGUAGGGUGCGAGCGUUAAUCGGAAUUACUGGGCGUAAAGCGUGCGCAGGCGGUUGUGCAAGACAGAGGUGAAAUCCCCGGGCUUAACCUGGGAAUGGCGAUGGAGACUGCGAGGCUAGAGUUUGGCAGAGGGGGGUAGAAUUCCACGUGUAGCAGUGAAAUGCGUAGAGAUGUGGAGGAACACCGAUGGCGAAGGCAGCCCCCUGGGUCAAAACUGACGCUCAUGCACGAAAGCGUGGGGAGCAAACAGG
rnacentral:rRNA from 1 species